rnacentral:tRNA from 1 species
AAUAAUUGGGAAUUAGCCAAGUUGGUAAGGCAUAGCACUUUGACUGCUAGAUGCAAAGGUUCGAGUCCUUUAUUCCCAGCGCGAGAAUGGUCAAAUUGGUAAAGGCACAGCACUUAAAAUGCUGCGGAAUGAUUUCCUUGUGGGUUCGAGUCCCACUUCUCGCACCA